rnacentral:rRNA from 1 species
UACGUAGGGUGCGAGCGUUAAUCGGAAUUACUGGGCGUAAAGCGUGCGCAGGCGGUUCGUUGUGUCGGCGGUGAAAGCCCCGGGCUUAACCUGGGAAUGGCCGUUGAAACUGGCGAACUGGAGUGUGGCAGAGGGGGGUGGAAUUCCGCGUGUAGCAGUGAAAUGCGUAGAGAUGCGGAGGAACACCGAUGGCGAAGGCAGCCCCCUGGGCCAACACUGACGCUCAGGCACGAAAGCGUGGGGAGCAAACAGG